rnacentral:rRNA from 1 species
UACGGAGGGUGCAAGCGUUAAUCGGAAUUACUGGGCGUAAAGCGUGCGCAGGCGGUUUGUUAAGUCUGCUGUGAAAUCCCCGAGCUCAACUUGGGAAUUGCAGUGGAUACUGGCAGGCUGGAGUAUGGUAGAGGAAGGUGGAAUUCCCGGUGUAACAGUGAAAUGCGUAGAUAUCAAGUGGAACACCAGUGGCGAAGGCGAGUCUCUGGACAUUUCCUGACGCUGAGGCACGAAAGCCAGGGGAGCAAACGGG